AGUCACAGAAGGGGGUGAGAAGUGGGAAGAGGGGAUUUGCAUAGAACCUCCAAUUUUCCUUAUUUCCUAGGGAGUUGAUGAUUUCAGCCAAAUAUAAGUCUUAACGUUACAUCUGCAAUGGAAAAACAAGUCAAACUCAGCAAAAAGGAGCCCUGAAGAGACAGAGGGUGCUCACAGAAAUAACUACAGUGGACUAGAAUGAGAUGCUUGAAACCUUCCCCCGAGCCUAGCUCUGCAUUUAGGAGAACAGCACAGCGCACCAUGAUCUGAUAUAGAUGAGUGUUUUCCAUAGAGUGGAGCUCAAUUCCUAUUUCAGAUUUGAGCCAUCAAUGCUGGGCAAUUUCUUCCCAGGUAAAAUGAAGGCAAUACUAAAAUCUACCUCCAGAUGGGACUGUGAGGACCAGAUGAGAUGCUGUUUUAAAGCCCCGAGACCCCAGCACACAGUAGGUCUUCAAUAGAAUUUCUGCAUCUCUGGAGAUCUAUGGGAUGGCUCUGGGCUCCAGAUUGCAGCGAUCACUGUGGAGCAGCAACCAUCUCUCCAUCCUGGCUCCAUUGAGCUUCUGCUUCUGUCAUAUCUGCGCUCCCCAUUGGCACU
rnacentral:lncRNA from 1 species